UACAGAGGUGCCAAGCGUUAGGCGGAAUCACUGGGCUUAAAGCGCGUGUAGGUGGACGGGUAAGUAUCUUGUGAAAUCCCACGGCUCAACCGUGGAACUGCUGGAUAUACUGCUUGUCUUGAGGCACUUAGGGGCAGCUGGAACAAAUGGUGGAGCGGUGAAAUGCGUAGAUAUCAUUUGGAACGCCAAAGGCGAAAGCAGGCUGCUGGGAGUGAUCUGACACUGAGACGCGAAAGCCAGGGAGGCAAACGGG
rnacentral:rRNA from 1 species